rnacentral:rRNA from 1 species
CCUACGGGAGGCUGCAGUGAGGAAUAUUGGUCAAUGGGCGAGAGCCUGAACCAGCCAAGUCGCGUGAGGGAGUACUGCCCUAUGGGUUGUAAACCUCUUUUGUCGGGGAGCAAAAGCCGGACGUGUCCGGCUGUGAGAGUACCCGAAGAAAAAGCAUCGGCUAACCCCGUGCCAGCAGCCGCGGUAAUACGGAGGAUGCGAGCGUUAUCCGGAUUUAUUGGGUUUAAAGGGUGCGCAGGCGGAUUGUUAAGUCAGCGGUAAAAUCGUGGGGCUCAACCCCAUCCAGCCGUUGAAACUGGGGAUCUAGAGUGUGCGAGAGGUAUGCGGAAUGCGUGGUGUAGCGGUGAAAUGCAUAGAUAUCACGCAGAACACCGAUUGCGAAGGCAGCAUACCGGUGCACAACUGACGCUCAGGCACGAAAGCGUGGGUAUCGAACAGGAUUAGAUACCCCAGUAGUC